GUUGGCUGUCGUUGUAAGAUCUUUAUAAACAUGUUGAUAAACAUGUUUACCUAGUGGCACUUGGGAGGAAGAGGUCUUCUCCUCGCGCAUAUUUUGCAUAUUGCAGCCUUCUUAGCAUUUGACUGUCUCCUCAACAGCUUCUUAGUCCUUGAAAUGAACUGGGUUGGCGGUUCAAGGAACCGGUUCAUGUUGAAGAACGAUGCAAAAAAGCAGAAGGAGUUCUUUGAAAAGAGGAAAAUGCAACAGAAAUGGAAUAAACUGGGGAUUCCCUUGUCAUCCUCUGCCAGAAGCAGCAGCUCUGGUGGUAUGGACAUGGUGACGUUGUUUAUUGUCAACCAGAUUGCUUCCAAGAAAGAAA